CAUUUUUCACUUUUUUAAGGUCGCAUACCUGGAAGGCACGUUGAAGUUGUGUUAGACGAAGUGGAACUAGGUCCAUCGACUUCAGUGAGAAUGAUGGAAAGACGGACGGGAAUACCAAAAACUACAGUU